AGAUAGAGUUUGAUCCUGGCUCAGAACGAACGCUGGCGGCGCGCCUAAUACAUGCAAGUCGAGCGAGAAGACGUAGCAAUACGUUUGUAAAGCGGCGAACGGGUGAGGAAUACAUGGGUAACCUACCCUCGAGUGGGGAAUAACUAGCCGAAAGGUUAGCUAAUACCGCAUACGAUUCCCGGACUUCGGUUCGGGAGGGAAAGCGAUACCGUGGGUAUCGCGCUCUUGGAUGGGCUCAUGUCCUAUCAGCUUGUUGGUGAGGUAAUGGCUCACCAAGGCUUCGACGGGUAGCUGGUCUGAGAGGACGAUCAGCCACACUGGCACUGCGACACGGGCCAGACUCCUACGGGAGGCAGCAGUAAGGAAUAUUGCGCAAUGGACGAAAGUCUGACGCAGCGACGCCGCGUGGGGGAUGAAGGUCUUCGGAUUGUAAACCCCUUUCGGGAGGGAAGAUGGAAUGGGGUAACCCAUUUGGACGGUACCUCCAGAAGCAGCCACGGCUAACUUCGUGCCAGCAGCCGCGGUAAUACGAAGGUGGCAAGCGUUGUUCGGAUUCACUGGGCGUACAGGGAGCGUAGGCGGUUGGGUAAGCCCUCCGUGAAAUCUCCGGGCCUAACCCGGAAAGUGCAGAGGGGACUGCUCAGCUAGAGGAUGGGAGAGGAGCGCGGAAUUCCCGGUGUAGCGGUGAAAUGCGUAGAGAUCGGGAGGAAGGCCGGUGGCGAAGGCGGCGCUCUGGAACAUUUCUGACGCUGAGGCUCGAAAGCGUGGGGAGCAAACAGGAUUAGAUACCCUGGUAGUCC
rnacentral:rRNA from 1 species